GAGUUUGAUCAUGGCUCAGAACGAACGCUGGCGGCAGGCCUAAUACAUGCAAGUCGAGCGCGCCCUUCGGGGUGAGCGGCGGACGGGUGAGUAACGCGUGGGAAUAUGCCCUUCUCUAAGGAAUAGCCUCUGGAAACGGAGAGUAAUACCUUAUACGCCCUUUGGGGGAAAGAUUUAUCGGAGAAGGAUUAGCCCGCGUUAGAUUAGGUAGUUGGUGGGGUAAUGGCCUACCAAGCCUACGAUCUAUAGCUGAUUUGAGAGGAUGAUCAGCCACACUGGGACUGAGACACGGCCCAGACUCCUACGGGAGGCAGCAGUAGGGAAUCUUAGACAAUGGGGGCAACCCUGAUCUAGCCAUGCCGCGUGUGUGAUGAAGGCCCUAGGGUCGUAAAGCACUUUCGCCAGAGAUGAUAAUGACAGUAUCUGGUAAAGAAACCCCGGCUAACUCCGUGCCAGCAGCCGCGGUAAUACGAAGGGACCUAGCGUAGUUCGGAAUUACUGGGCUUAAAGAGUUCGUAGGUGGUUGAAAAAGUUGGUGGUGAAAUCCCAGAGCUUAACUCUGGAACUGCCAUCAAAACUUUUCAGCUAGAGUAUGAUAGAGGGAAGCAGAAUUUCUAGUGUAGAGGUGAAAUUCGUAGAUAUUAGAAAGAAUACCAAUUGCGAAGGCAGCUUUCUGGAUCAUUACUGACACUGAGGAACGAAAGCAUGGGUAGCGAAGAGGAUUAGAUACCCUCGUAGUCCAUGCCGUAAACGAUGUGUGUUAGACGUUGGAAAUUUAUUUUCAGUGUCGCAGCGAAAGCGAUAAACACACCGCCUAGGGAGUACGACCGCAAGGUUAAAACUCAAAUGAAUUGACGGGGACCCGCACAAGUAGUGGAGCAUGUGGUUUAAUUCGAAGAUACGCGCAGAACCUUACCAACACUUGACAUGUUCGUCGCGACUCUAAGAGAUUAGAGUUUUCGGUUCGGCCGGACGAAACACAGGUGCUGCAUGGCUGUCGUCAGCUCGUGUCGUGAGAUGUUGGGUUAAGUCCCGCAACGAGCGCAACCCUCACUUUUAGUUGCCAUCAUUAAGUUGGGCACUCUGAAAGAACUGCCAGUGAUAAGCUGGAGGAAGGUGGGGAUGACGUCAAGUCCUCAUGGCCCUUACGUGUUGGGCUACACACGUGCUACAAUGGUAUCUACAACAGGAAGCAAGACUGCGAAGUUAAGCAAAUCCCUAAAAGAUACCUCAGUUCGGAUUGCACUCUGCAACUCGAGUGCAUGAAGCUGGAAUUACUAGUAAUCGUGGAUCAGCGUGCCACGGUGAAUGCGUUCCCGGGUCUUGUACACACCGCCCGUCACACCAUGGGAGUUGGUUCUACCUUAAGGCAAGGUUUCAAACCCUUGACCACGGUAUAGUCAGCGACUGGGGUGAAGUCGUAACAAGGUAACC
rnacentral:rRNA from 1 species